rnacentral:rRNA from 1 species
CGUAUGGUCCAUAUUUUUUUCAACCGCGCCUCCCUUUCAAAUAACUCAAGAAAAAGGUCCUCUUCCUUGGGGAUAAGGGUUCCCUGGUUGCGCAUGUUUUUUGUCUUCUUUUUUUUAAGAAACAGUAGUUUUUUAUUUUCUAAAGAAGGGGGGGCGCGCCACUUCCCUUCUCCACAUUGAUUGGACUUUUUAGGUGACUGCUGGUGACAACACAAAAAAGUUGGGAAUGACGUCAAAUCAUUUUGCCCCUUAUUUCUUGGGUUACACACGUGCUACAAUGGGCAGAACAAAGGGCAGCGAAGCCGCGAGGGUAAGCCAAUCCCACAAAUCUGUUCUCAGUUCGGAUCGCAGUCUGCAACUCGACUGCGUGAAGCUGGAAUCGCUAGUAAUCGCGGAUCAGCAUGCCGCGGUGAAUACGUUCCCGGGCCUAGUACACACCGCCCGUCACACCACGAGAGUUGGUAACACCCUAAGUCUGUGAGCAAACCUCAGGCUGGAUCACCUCCUCAGCGGGUGGUUCGUUUACGGGCUGGUACCGGAGCCGUGCGCGGCUGACCA